GGCCGGUUAGCUCAGCCAGUUGAGCGCAGCGCUAACAAUGCUAAGGCCGCGGGUUCGAUUCCCGUUCAGUCCC
rnacentral:tRNA from 1 species